ACAGAGGUGGUUCAGUGGCAGAAUUCUUGCCUCCCAUGCAGGAGACCCAGGUUCGAUUCCUGGCCAACGUA
rnacentral:tRNA from 1 species